rnacentral:rRNA from 1 species
CCUACGGGUGGCAGCAGUGAGGAAUAUUGGUCAAUGGACGAAAGUCUGAACCAGCCAUGCCGCGUGAAGGAUGACGGCUCUAUGAGUUGUAAACUGCUUUUGUACGGGGAUAAACCCCGAUACGUGUAUCGGGUUGAAAGUAUCAUACGAAUAAGGAUCGGCUAACUCCGUGCCAGCAGCCGCGGUAAUACGGAGGAUCCGAGCGUUAUCCGGAUUUAUUGGGUUUAAAGGGUGCGUAGGCGGUUUGAUAAGUCAGAGGUGAAAGUUCGGGGCUCAACCCUGAAAUUGCAUUUAAUACUGUUGGACUAGAGAACAGUGGCGGUAGGCGGAAUGCAUGGUGUAGCGGUGAAAUGCUUAGAGAUCAUAAAGAACACCGAUUGCGAAGGCAGCUCACCAAACUAUAUCUGACGCUGAGGCACGAAAGCGUGGGUAGCAAACAGGAUUAGAUACCCCUGUAGUC